rnacentral:rRNA from 1 species
GCAGUCGAACGAGAAAGUGGAGCAAUCCAUGAGUACAGUGGCGACCGGGUGAGCUAUUACGUGACCAACCUGCCCUCGAGUGGGGAAUAACUCCGGGAAACCGGAGCUAAUACCGCAUAACAUCGCAAGAUCAAAGCCGCAAGGCGCUUGAGGAGGGGGUCGCGGCUGAUUAGCUAGUUGGUAGGGUAAUGGCCUACCAAGGCGAAGAUCGGUAGCCGGCCUGAGAGGGCGCACGGCCACACUGGAACUGAAACACGGUCCAGACUCCUACGGGAGGCAGCAGUGGGGAAUUUUGCGCAAUGGGGGAAACCCUGACGCAGCAACGCCGCGUGGAGGAUGAAGUCCCUUGGGACGUAAACUCCUUUCGACCGGGACGAUACUGACGGUACCGGAAGAAGAAGCACCGGCUAACUCUGUGCCAGCAGCCGCGGUAAUACAGAGGGUGCGAGCGUUGUUCGGAAUUAUUGGGCGUAAAGGGCGCGUAGGCGGUGCGGUAAGUCACCUGUGAAAUCUCC